CAAUCCCAAUGCUACUCCUGGUUCAGGGGCUUUUUUCUUACUCAACUUCGUGUGAGAGAUACGGUAGCCAUUCGAUUCCCCGAUAAUGGAUGAAUCGGAUCGCUUCCUAGUUACUAAAGAAUUUCGAUACCAAGUGUCGCACACCGUCGUCGUGUUGUGACUAAUCGAACCGAGUCGUUUGCCUGGCGUGCGUUGUGUGCGUGUACGAAUAGUUAAUUCAUAUUCGUGCACACACACAGCACAGUCCACGCUCAACUACGAAUUUACGAUGUAUGUUUCUUUUACGUCUAUUGUGUAGUUGAUGCGAUAUACGUGGAUGGAAGCCAUAUUAAUACGUGCAAAUCGAUGUACGAUCUAUAUCGAAAAGCCCUGAACUCAGAAGUGAUUACCCGCUGAACUUAAGCAUAUCAGUUAGCGGAGGAAAAGAAACUAAACAGGAUUCCCCUAGUAACGGCGAGUGAAAAGGGAUGAGCCCAGCGUCGAAUCACGUUGCUCCUUGCCGGGUGACGAGAAAUGUGACGUAUAGGUGUUGCACUACCGAUUCGUGUGAACGUGUGCUCGAAGUCUUUUUGAACAAGGCUUUAGCCUCAGAGGGUGCAAGCCCCGUACGAGUACUCGCGCGGACGGUGUUUGUGUUGCGCUUUGGAGUCGGGCUGCUUGAAAGUGCAGUCUAAAGUUGGGUGAUAAACAUCAUCUAAGGCUAAAUACGAAUACGAAUUCGAUAGCAAACAAGUACCGUGAGGGAAAGUUGCAAAGAACUUUGAAAAGAGAGUUCAAGAGAGCGUGAAACCACCGGAGUGGAAGCGGAUAGAGCCGACGUAGUCUUGUGGCAAAGCCGUUCGCGUAUAGGCGAUCCGUCGUUGAUCGUCCUAGCGUAGCGGUGGUCGCCUACUGUGACUGCAUUGACGGCGUUGACGACUAUAGCGCAUUCGCGAGUCCGUUCGAUUGUUGCCCCGAUACCGCUUGCGGUACUUGGGUGUCUUGUCGACGCGGUACUCUGGUUUGUCGCCGUCAGCGUUGUGCACUCGAUUGUCCUCGUGGCAAUGUGCGUCAAUGUGAAAGUCGGUCACCUAUCCGGCCCGUCUUGAAACACGGACCGUGGAGUGUAGCUAUUGUGCGAGUCGAAGAGUGCUCAAAACUCUAUAUCGGCGUAAUGAAAGUAAAGACCGACUUGUGCGGUUGACAUGGGAUUUGGUGGCUCUCGUGGUCUGCCAACGCACCAUGGUCCUAUCCGAAUGGCUUGCCAUUGGGUAGAGAUAGAGCAUAAUGGCUGCGACCCGAAAGAUGGUGAUCUAUGCUUGAGCAGGACGAAGCCAGAGGAAACUCUGGUGGAAGUCCGCAUCGGUUUUGACGUGCAAAUCAAUCGAUAGACUUGAGUAUAGGGGCGAAAGACUCAUCGAACCAUCUAGUAGCUGGUUCCUUCCGAAGUUUUUCUUAGAAUAGCUGGGACUCGAAUGUUUACAUUCGAUAAAGAUAAUGAUUAGAGGUAUUGGGGACGAAACGUUCUCAACCUAUUCUCAAACUUUAAACGGGUGUAAUGCCUUCAGUUUCUUCAUUGAACUGAUCGCACGAACAUCGUAUGGUCCCAAGUGGGCCAUUUCUGGUAAGCAGAACUGGCGAUGUAGGAUGAACUAAACGUCGAGUUAAGGCGUCCAAAUUCUCGCUCAUGAGAUCCCAUAAAAGGUGUUGGUUGAUAUAGACAGCAGGACGGUGGCCAUGGAAGUCGGUACCCGCUAAGGAGUGUGUAACAACUCACCUGCCGAAUCAACUAGCCCUGAAAAUGGAUGGCGCUUAAGCGAGAUGCCUAUACUCGACCGUUACAGCAUGCGUCACCCUCGUUUGGUGUUGGCCAAGCUGUAACGAGUAGGAAGGUCGUAGUGGUGGCGUCGAAGGCAUUGAGCGUGAGCUCAGCUGGAGCCGCCACUAGUGCAGCUCACGGUUGUAGUAGCAAAUAUCUAAGUUCGAACCUUAGAGACUGAAGUGGAGAAGGUUUCCACGUGAACAGCAGUUGGAUGUGGGUCAGUCGAUCCUAAGACACAGGCGAACGCCUUUUGUAAAUCGGGAGGGUGCUCGCGCGGUUCGCCGUCGUGUGCUCUCGUCGUGUCGAAAGGGCAUAGGGUUAAUAUUCCCUAACUCUGAUAUGGUGAUAGUAUGUCAACUCGCAAGGGUGCGGCAUACUUGUGCGGUAACGCGUAUCCGAAAUCGGUUACCUCGCUCGAUGAACGAGCUAGAGUUUUCUUCUCUAGUUAAGAGACGGACUCCCUGGAAUCGGCUCAGCCGGAGAUAGGGACGUUGUUCUCACUCGAAAAGCAUCGCGGUUUCUGCGGUGUCUCGUUCUCAUCGAGUGAGCCUUAAACACCGAUGAAGACGCAUUAAGCCAUACAGCAUCGUACCGAUAUCCGCAUCAGGUCUCCAAGGUGAGCAGCCUCUAGUCGAUAGAAUAAUGU
rnacentral:rRNA from 1 species